rnacentral:rRNA from 1 species
AUUGAACGCUGGCGGCAUGCCUUACACAUGCAAGUCGAACGGCAACAGGUCUUCGGAUGCUGACGAGUGGCGAACGGGUGAGUAAUAUAUCGGAACGUGCCCAGUCGUGGGGGAUAACGCAGCGAAAGCUGUGCUAAUACCGCAUACGAUCUAUGGAUGAAAGCGGGGGAUCGCAAGACCUCGCGCGAUUGGAGCGGCCGAUAUCAGAUUAGGUAGUUGGUGGGGUAAAGGCCUACCAAGCCAACGAUCUGUAGCUGGUCUGAGAGGACGACCAGGCACACUGGAACUGGGACACGGUCCAGACUCCUACGGGAGGCAGCAGUGGGGAAUUUUGGACAAUGGGCGCAAGCCUGAUCCAGCAAUGCCGCGUGCAGGAUGAAGGCCUUCGGGUUGUAAACUGCUUUUGUACGGAACGAAAAGGCUCUGGUUAAUACCUGGGGCUCAUGACGGUACCGUAAGAAUAAGCACCGGCUAACUACGUGCCAGCCGCCACCGUAA